GGAAUGGAGUGGGGUGCUCUGGCACCCCGUGGUCUGGCCAGGCCGUGAACUGGAACUGCCUCACCUCUCUCUUCUCGCUGGAGCCAUUCUGAAUACGGAGUCGGAGAAAGGGCUGUUGGUGCCGCCCGAUAAUGUCUUCAAUCAUCUCUCCUGUCAACACGGCUAAAUCUAGCUGCCCUUGGGAAAAGUUGUGAAAAGGAAAUCAAAGGGGCCACUCACACGGGAAUCAUAGGACAGAAGAGACAAACAUCAGCAU